rnacentral:rRNA from 1 species
UACGUAGGGCGCAAGCGUUGUCCGGAAUUAUUGGGCGUAAAGAGCUCGUAGGCGGUUUGUCGCGUCUGCUGUGAAAACCUAAGGCUCAACCUUGGGCUUGCAGUGGGUACGGGCAGACUAGAGUGCGGUAGGGGUGACUGGAAUUCCUGGUGUAGCGGUGGAAUGCGCAGAUAUCAGGAGCAACACCGAUGGCGAAGGCAGGUCACUGGGCCGCAACUGACGCUGAGGAGCGAAAGCAUGGGGAGCGAACAGG